CUCCUACGGGAGGCAGCAGUAAGGAAUAUUGGUCAAUGGGCGGAAGCCGUGAACCAGCCAUGCCGCGUGCAGGAAGACGGCCCUACGGGUUGUAAACUGCUUUGCUAGGGAAUAAACCCGAUACGUGUAUCGGGUUGAAUGUACUCUCGAGAAUAAGGAUCGGCUAACUCCGUGCCAGCCGCCGCGGUAAUAC
rnacentral:rRNA from 1 species